AUACGAAGGGGGCAAGCGUUGUUCGGAAUAACUGGGCGUAAAGCGCACGUAGGCGGAUUGUUUAGUUAGAGGUGAAAUCCCAGGGCUCAACCCUGGAACUGCCUUUAAUACUGGCAGUCUAGAGACCGAGAGAGGUGAGUGGAAUUCCGAGUGUAGAGGUGAAAUUCGUAGAUAUUCGGAGGAACACCAGUGGCGAAGGCGGCUCACUGGCUCGGUACUGACGCUGAGGUGCGAAAGCGUGGGGAGCAAACAGGAUUAGAAACCCUUGUAGUCC
rnacentral:rRNA from 1 species